AGCGUCUCGUUUAGAUCGUCUUUGUUCUAUACGGUUUGCUGCGAAAAACAAUUGAAAUUUAUAUUUUAUUUGAAACAAGAUUAAGUGAAACUGAACUUUUUUAUACAAUGGACCUUUAUGCACCAGGUUCUUCUGGGUUAACUGUUUCAUCAAGACACAGUAUAUAAUAUGUGAUGAUUAAGAACAUAAAUGAGAAGAGUUUUAGCGAAAAAAUAGAUAAGGUACAAGAAAUAAUAAUAAAUAAAUACAGUUUAAAUAGUAAGGAAAGGAAAAAAUUUAUCAUUAAAUUUUCAAAGCUAAAGUCGGAAAUGAAGUCACGGUGGAUAGCUGCAAAAAGAACAGAAGAUAAAUUUUUGAAAAUGAAUCGAGAUUAACUGCAAGGGACAAUAUCAAUGACGAGAAAAAAAAAAUCAAGUGUUGGUCGUCCCUCUAAAGACUUUGAAGACUUAUCGUAGCGUACAAACGUCGCGACGUGUAAACACUAUUACUUAUUAAAUACUAACUGUGCCCCGCGAUUUCACACGCAUUAAUUUUAGAAAAAAAUAGAAUUCCUCACUAAAUGAGUUAUAAAACUAAAAAUU
rnacentral:misc_RNA from 1 species